AACCCAUGAUGUGGACACUUUCUCAGUAGUUCCUUGUAUCUUUCCCAAGCUUCAUACAAUGAUUCAGUCUCAUCCUGUAGAAACGAUGUGAUAUCAUUUCUCAUCUU